AAUGAACGUUGGCGGCAUGGAUUAGGCAUGCAAGUCGUGCGGAAAGGCUCCUUCGGGAGUACUCGAGCGGCGAAAGGGAGAGUAACGCGUGGUUAUCUGCCUCUAGGACUGGGAUAGCUGUGGGAAACUGCAGGUAAUACCGGAUAAUAUCUACGGAUCAAAGGUGUGAUUCCGCCUAGAGAUGAGACCGCGUCCUAUUAGCUUGUUGGUAAGAUAAUGGCUUACCAAGGCUUCGAUGGGUAGCGGGUGUGAGAGCAUGGCCCGUCUCACUGGGACUGAGACACUGCCCAGACACCUACGGGUGGCUGCAGUCGAGAAUCUUCGGCAAUGGGCGAAAGCCUGACCGAGCAAUGCCGCGUGCGGGAUGAAGGCCUUCGGGUUGUAAACCGCUGUCAGUUGGGAGGAAAUUAUUUAGGGCUAUCCCUAUUUAUUGACCUAUCUUCAGAGGAAGGACAGGCUAAGUUCG
rnacentral:rRNA from 1 species